CCCUGUGCGGGAUUGGACCCCGGGACUUUCUUGGGGCCGCAUCCAGACCCCUUUACUGCCCGGUGCCUCCAUCUCCGGCUUCUGGGUGUGCUGGGGGCCAACAGCUCACAGCCACCCCCUUCUCUGAAUAGUUAAUUGUCCUUGGCUGAUGGGAACUGCUGCGCCCUGGAAGUUAUCACUCCCCAAACACCUGGAGCUCAUGACUGACUGGGGUUGCAGUAUAAAGGCCCAGCUCCUUUGCCUCCAAGAGUGUUGACUCGUGCUAUUCGUGCUCCGAGCUCCUCUGGAAUGAAGUUGAAGGAGUGAGAAUCCCCAGAAUAACGAGAGGACAACCAGCAGGGGAAGGAAGUCCCUGGGAGGUCGUCCACAACACGGAGGACAGCGGCUCCUAAUAUAACCUUCCCACAGUGCCUCUAAAUGACAUGUGGACUUUGGGUGAACUGGAUCUGGGUAAUCCACAGGACCCAAGACAUGGUAGCUACUAAUAUACUCUUCCCACGGUGCCUCUUAAUACCAUGCGGACUCCUACAAGGGAAAUAAGUAUCACAACUUUGGUUGAACUUGGUCUGGUCUCAGAUUUACCUGAUGGUCACCACUCACAGUUCCCGCAGAGCCCAGAGAUUUCUCCUUGAAGGAAAGGUUCUGGAAAAUCAGAGGGAUAAAUAAAGAAUGCAGCUGAUUCCCGCCUUGUGCUGACGCCCAAGAGGGUGAGGAGAGCCACGAGGCAUGUGGGAUCUUAGCUUCCUGCCCAGGGAUCAAACCGGCACCCCCUGCGUUGGAAGGCGAAGUCUUAACCACUGAACCACCAGGUUCACGUACACACUUCUACAACGUCUAACAUGCCGUGGAAGUUUGACUCGUUGCCCUAGUCUGAGCUGCACUGAGAAAGACCCUCGGCUUCGCAUUCCAUCUAGGACCUCCUGCCUGAAUUCAUCCUGCCUCCAGGAGAAAGUCGGCUUGCGUUCUGACUGCAACUAAAGCCCAGUUCCUCGUGGAACACUGCAGGCUUUUGAAGAGCCACAGGCCCGGAGGCCUAGCUGGGGCGUUCCUUGGUUGAGGUGGUUCACUAGAUGCAGAACACCGUGCUUCGAUGAGUUGAUUCAGGGAAGGAACCACUGGGUAACCUGUGUCUCUCUGGACUUGUUAGAAAGCACAGGGAUGUAUGCUGCGUGUGCCCAUGGAAAUGGGGGCCUGAUGGAACUAGCCUUGCUUUCCCAUUUGGAAAGCUCUAUUCAUGCUGCCUUGAAGCUACUUGAAAUUGACUGCUGUUGACAGGCCACUAGCCACUGUACGCAUGGCUCUGGGAAGAAAAUGAGUUUUCUCUAGCUAAACCGGGUGCUUCCAUGGCCGGGGUGGAGCUCAUCCUGCCAUGCUCCAGAGCUAAAGGGAAACUCAACAUGAGUACUUGCCUCGAGAUAAGGCCCUGAGUAGCCGUGCAGAAAGGGAGGCAUGCAGCUGUUUCCAUGAGGUCUUAGUCACUGUUGUGCUUUAUUUUAAAGGAAGUACCCUUUUCAGGACUCCUAGGCCCCUCGGGUAUGCAUCAUUUUCCCUCCAAGAUCACUGAGUACCUCCGGACCUCUAUGGGCCUGCUGAGCAACAUCGAGACCCAUAGGUCGGUCCCUCGGAGGCCCUCUGUGUAUGCCCUGCGAUGGGCAACCCACUGUACGUUCCUUAAGGUGAACUACAUUUGCAGAGCACUCGAACAGCCUCAGGACCACAUUUCUAGCCAGUCCGACGUGCCAUGGAAGUCUUCGUCUUGCCCCCCGUCUGAGCUGCCCUGAGAAAGCACUGUGCUUGGAAUUCCUCGGGGACCUCGUACCUGAAGUCACUCUGCUCGAGGAGAAAGUCAGCAUCCUACCGUGCUGUGUCACUAACGGAUCAUUCAACGAGAACACUUGCCUCAAGGUAAGGCCCUGAAUUGCCGUGCGGAAGCAUAGGCGUGCAGCAGUUUCCAUGAGGCCGCAGCCACUGCUCUGCAUUUUUUUAACGGCUGGACGCUUUGCAGGACAUCUAGGAGCCUCACGUGGGCACCCUAUUCCCUGCAAGAACACUCAGUCACCCCAGGCCCCCCUGGGCCUGCUAAGCAACAUCCAGGCCCGUAGCCCUUCGGAGCCACUCUGUGUAUGCCGAGUGUAGGGCAACACACUGCACUCUUUCUUGGGACAGCUUGAUUUCCCCAGCACUCCCGCAGGUUCACGUACAUCCUUCUAGUACAUCUAACAUGCCGUGGAAGUCUGACUCGUUGCCCUAGUCUGAGCUGCACUGAGAAAGACCCUCGGCUUGGCAUUCCAUCUAGGACCUCCUGCCUGAAGUCACCCUGCCUCCAGGAGAAAGUUGGCUCGCGUUCCAACUGCAACUAAAGCCUAGUUCCUCGUGUAACACUGCAGGAGUUUGAAGAGCCACAGGCCCGGAGGCCUAGCUAGGGCGUUCCUUGGUUGAGGCAGUUCGCUAGAUGCAGAGCACCCUGCUUUGAGGAGUUGAUUCCGGGAAGGAACCACUGGGUAAAAUGUAUCUCUUUUGACUUAUUAGAAACCACAGGGAUGUAUGCUGCGUGUGCACAUGGAAAUGGGGGCCUGAUGGAAGCAGCCUUGCUUUCCCGUUUUGAAAGCUCCAUUCAUGCUUCCUUGAAGCUACCUGAAAUUGAGUGCUGUUGACAGGCCUUUAGCCGCUGUAGGCAUGGCUGUGGGAAGAAAAUGAGUUUUCUCUAGCUAAACUGGGUGCUUCCAUGGCUGGGGUGGAGCUCAUCCUGCCAUGCUCCAGAGCUAAAGGGAAACUCAACGUGAGUACUGGCCUCGAGGUAAGGCCCUGAGUAGCCGUGCAGAAAGGGAGGCAUGCAGCUGUUUCCAUGAGGUCUUAGUCGCUGUUGUGCUUUAUUUUAAAGGAAGUACCCUUUUCAGGACUCCUAGGCCCCUCGUGUGUGCAUCAUUUUCCCUCCAAGAUCACUGAGUACCUCCAGACCGCUGUGGGCCUGCUGAGCAACAUCGAGACCCAUAGGUCGGUCCCUCGGAGGCCCUCUGGGUAUGCCGAGCAAAGGGCAACAUGCUACACUCUUCCUUAAGAGAACUAGAUUUCCUCAGCACUCCAACAGCUUUAGGAAAACGUUUCUACCCCGUCUAACAUGCCAUGGAAUUGUGCCUCGUUGCCCUAUUGUGAGCUGCACUGAAAAAGCACUGUGCUAAGCAUUCCUUCUAGGACCUCCUGCCUGAAGUCACCCUGCCUCCAGGAGAACGUCGGCUCGCGUUCCAACUGCAAGGAAAGCACAGUUCUUCGUGUAACACUGCAGGCUUUUGGAGCAAGCACAGGCCCGGAGGCCUAACUCAGGCAUUCCUUAGUUGAGGCAGUUCGCUACACACAGAACACCCCGUGUAGAAACGCUGAUUCAGGGAAGUGCCCAGUGUGUAGCUCGUGUCUCUUUUCACUUGUUAGAAAGCACGUGUAAGUGUGCUGCGUGUCCGCCGGGAAAUGGGUGCCUGACGGCAGAAGCCAUUUCAUCAGAGGUGUUGGGAGUGUGUAGAGGCGUUAUAUUCCUGUUGUGUGUCCUGCAGGCAUCCCAUGAAAGACCAGAAUCUAGGUCAACUUGGGCAAGCCACUUAACUGAGCCUCAGCUUUCUUUAUUUGUAAGGUGGGCACCACAGCGCUUCCCUCCCGUAUUCAUGGCGAUAACCUGGCAACAAACGUACACCAUGUGGCCCCACUUUGAAAUCUUUAAAGAGGUCUGCCAAUAAAAGUGUCUGUAGGUUGUACCUUCCCUGCAAUGACACACCUGGUCCAAGGUGGAGAGGUUUCAGGAGUGAGCAGUUUGCCCUUCACAUGAAUGGACAGAGCUCAGCCAGCGGCGCCCCUUCACUGAGACCCUGGCUGCCGAGGUACACACUUUCCAUGUAUCCAGGCUAGUUUCAGAUGGAGACUGAGAGGGAAAAUAGGCAGGUGUAAGGAUGCAAUCCUCAAAUCUUUGGUUUCAAAUAAUCCAUCCCAAACUGCUACCCGAGCCCCCCAGUAUCAAAAAGGAAACAUGUUAUAGACCCAGAAAAAUGUGUUUCCCAAAAGGCCUAGGUUUGCCCUCAUAGUCAUCAGUAUCUAAAAUAGAAGUAGCAGUACACUUAAAAUCUUAAACCUCUAUGUAUUUAGGGACCAAAGGCAUUUUCAUCAGAAAGAAAAGGGAUUUAAUAAUGAAACCACAGAGAGAUAAAUUGUUUUCAAGCCCCUGAUAAGAGAGGGGAGAAAUGUCAACCUCGUGGGAGUUGCAGAAUCAGCAGUUAGGAUUUUUGGAUGCCAACUCUGGUGGAGAAGAGACUCCAGCCUGUACCCUCCCCACCCACCCUCCCCGGUAUGCCUGGUUAGGAGGUGAGUCCUGCAGGCACGGUGGCCCCUGGGCUGGCCGGAGCGGCAGGAUGAGUGCAGGGGUUCCUGAACAGAAAAGUUUACCCUCCCUCCCCAGAGACACCUAGCAAUGUCUGGAGGGUGGGCUAGUGGCAGGUGGCCAGGGACGCUGCUAAACACACUACAAUGCCCAGGACAAAGCCCACCACAGAGAACGAUUCAGCCCAGAAUGUCAGCAGUGCUGAGGAUGAGAAACCUAUGUAUGUGGUAAUGCUGGCCUCCAGGAGAAGUUCAGGAGACAGCCCAACCCUCUUCCUGCCCACAAGGGGGGGAUGGUCCUCUCCUGUAGCUUGCUCCAAUUUAAGGACCUUUUGCUGUCUGCUGUUGGUGAGUGACCCGGUGCCCUGGCUUUAGGAGUCGGGGCCUGAGGGCCUCGUUAGCUCCCCGAAUUCUGUGCACUCAGAGUGCGCUUUACCCCCACGCUCCCCGCUGUUGUAGAGCAGGGUCUGAAAAGCCAGAGGGAGUGGCUGCUGGAUUUGGCGCUAGCAGGCUUGGUCUUGGCGUCACUGGUAAUGUACAGGGUGAUAUUUGGGGUAGAAAGAGACAAAUUAGGCCGAUUCGUAGCGAGGUGGUGGCUGCUCUGCGGAACGCCCCUGAGUCGCGAGGUUCUGGGACCGCUGAUCAGUAGCAGAGGUGUGACGAGGACACAGCCUCACACCGUGCCCCACGGCCUGGGCCUUUCGGAGUUGGCCUCUUCAGAAGGCUCUCCCAGGCACAGACCACCCCAUCCCCGAGCCCCAGCACGCUGGCCCCUCCGCACUGGACAUGUAGGGGUAGCGCGGGGUGUGGUGUCCACGCCAGACUGAAGUCCAGGUCGGAGGGGCUCAGCCUGAGGCUGAAAGGAGAUGGAUGGAUCAGUAGGUUGGUGGCGGUGUCUCCUGGGAGGGAAUCACAGGGAAUUGUUACUUCUCAGUUAUCUUCUGCAUUUUAAAAACUUCUGCCAUGAGUACGCAUUUCUGUAACCAAAACCUUAUCAGAGUGGAAGCUUAGUGGGGCAGCUUUGCAAAAGGACCCUGCCUGACUCUUGACCCGCCUGUGUGCCUAAAUGCGCAUGCAGCUGGGGCUUGGUCAGCAGUGGUGACCUCCUGAAGCUAUUUACAACCUGUAAGCGGUGUGUGCUCCUCCACAGGAUACCUCAGUUCUCUGACUCUCAGGUUCUUCUUCUGUGGAGAAAAAGGGCAGAUAUGUUCUACAAAUGUCCACAGUUCCCCGUGGAGAAGGUACCUCUGGGCAUGAACAUGUGCUGGAGUGGCAUGAUGCUGGGGUCUGCCCCUCGCAGCUCAAUCUCAAAGACUCCAAGCAGAGCUACCUAUUUUAUAUUUUUCUUCCCUUCUGAAGACAUUGGCUGGCACUUGGCCUUGGUCCAGGGUGUACGCCUUCUUCAACCUGUUGACUGCAGAGUCCUCACAUUGCUUUGGGCUUGGUCCAAGUCUGUGCUUGAGUGGAGGACGGGGCGUUGAGAGGGUGCACACGCCCCUCCUUCUCAGCCACGCACCUUCUUUUCCUUGCCAAGCUCUCCCUUCUCCUACUGUGACAACGAAGCGGCUGCUUCAACCUCUUCUGUAACCUGGGCUCUCCCAUCUGUCUUCAGUUUUUCCCGUGAUCAUAGCUGGUUAGACACCUGCCGGGGGAUGUUUUUCAGACGAACUUGAGUAACUUGCCCUCGUAGAUUAGUUAAGAGCCUGUAGGUCUCGAAGGGAUUUGUGGAAAAGACCCAGCAGAGUCUCCGAGAACCCGAGGUGGCUGUGGCUGGAGCCAGGUGAGCCACAGGUUAGGGGCGUCUGGCCCUCAUCCUGUGUGAGGGUGGAUGCGCUACUGCUGUCCUCUGCCUCGGGCCCUCAUCUGUGAAAUGCGGGAACAGUGAGGACUGCCCUCCCGAGGUCGUCAUGAGGCUUAAUGUGUGAAUGCAGUGACCACUCAGAGCAGCCCUCACAGCAGGGAGCACUGUGUGUGUGUGUGUGGGUGUGUGUGUGUCUGGGGGUGUGUGUGUGUGUGCGUGUGCGUGUGUGUGUGUGUGUGAUUGUAGCCGCCGGGCUUUGCUUUUCUCCACCAGCUCCUUCUUCACGGGGAAGCAAGGAGAGGCAU